GAGCAGCAGGUAACUGCCCACUUCAUCUCUCAGAGCUCCUCUCGGUCUCUUCCACUUCCUCUACCCAUCCCUUGCCCAAUCCGGUGCCUUCUCGCUAACACUCAUGAUUCUCUCUCCCUCUCAAUCUCAGCAUCAGCAUUGGGAAAGUGACCUCUGAGGGGCCACAUUACAGAGAGGCAGGACUGAGUCCAAGGCAUCUUAGGUCCUUGGGGUAAUGUCUCCACUGGGAAGCGGCUCUUCUCUUUCUAUUAUAGUCACAGUUUCUCUGGAAGAAGAUGCAGGUGCCCGCCAACCUGACCCUCAGGAAUCUGCAAGCCUGUACCAACUUGUGCAGACACCUGAGGGACAUCCCAGCAGCCUGGUCUGCAACACAGAUUGCAGAGAUGGAGCUCUCAGACUUUGAGGACCGCCUGGCACUAUUUGCAGGAGAUCCAGGACUUGGGCCUGAGGAGCUACAGGCAGCCAUGGGAAAGGCAAAGAAGGUUAGGGAUGGAGAGACCACUAGCAGUUAGAGGGGAUAAAAAAGAAGUUGGUUGGUGUAAAGUGGAACUCAAGGGGAGAGUUGGGUGAGAUGUGGGGAAACAGGAACUGAAAAGAGGAUUUGGAUCUCAAAAAGUUCAGAGGGAAUCAGUAUUGAGGAAAUGGAGCUAGUACAUGAAUACAGGGACCAAAGCAGUGGUUAUCAAAUUUCAGUGUCAAAAAAUCUGGGGAGCAGGUUUUAAAAAUGCUGUUGCUAG
rnacentral:lncRNA from 1 species